AUUGAACGCUGGCGGCAUGCCUUACACAUGCAAGUCGAACGAGUGGCGGACGGGUGAGUAAUGUCUGGGAAACUGCCCGAUGGAGGGGGAUAACUACUGGAAACGGUAGCUAAUACCGCAUACCAUCAGAUGUGCCCAGAUGGGAUUAGCUAGUAGGUGGGGUAACGGCUCACCAAGGCGACGAUCCCUAGCUGGUCUGAGAGGAUGACCAGCCACACUGGAACUGAGACACGGUCCAGACUCCGACGGGAGGCAGCAGUGGGGAAUAUUGCACAAUGGGCGCAAGCCUGAUGCAGCCAUGCCGCGUGUAUGAAGAAGGCCUUCGGGUUGUAAAGUACUUUCAGCGGGGAGGCGUUACCCGCAGAAGAAGCACCGGCUAACUCCGUGCCAGCAGCCGCGGUAAUUC
rnacentral:rRNA from 1 species